ensembl:lncRNA
GAUUAUAUGAGUUUGUUAGAAAAACCACUUUCCUUUGCUCCUAGCGCCUUCUCGUUCGCUGUAUAGCGUUUUGAGCGGAUAAAGAGCACAAGUGUGCAUGGAGACACAGGAUGAAUGGGAACAAGUUUUGUUAUUGCUCUUUUGAUGAAAACUGACUUUCUAGACAUAAAAUGUCACUUUUUUCACCUUAUCAUACUUUUUCAUCAACUUUUGCAUUUUAAGGUAAACAAUCAUAUUUCGUAAUAUUUUGGGUCAGAAACAUUUCAUAGUACUAUAUUAUGUCUAAAUAUGUGAAAAGAAUCAAAUUGGAGUAGGUCGGGCAACUGAUUAUAUGAGUUUGUUAGAAAAACCACUUUCCUUUGCUCCUAGCGCCUUCUCGUUCGCUGUAUAGCGUUUUGAGCGGAUAAAGAGCACAAGUGUGUAUGGGGACACUGGAUGAAUGGGAAUUAGUUUUGUUAUUGUACUUUUGAUGAAAACUGACUUUCUAGACAUAAAAUGUCACUUUUUUCACCUUAUCAUACUUUUUCAUCAACUUUUGCAUUUUAAUGUAAACAAUCAUAUUUCGUAAUAUUUUGGGUCAGAAACAUUUCAUAGUACUAUAUUAUGUCUAACUAUGUGAAAAAAAUCAAAUUGGAGUAGGUCGGGCAACUGAUUAUAUAAGUUUGUUAGAAAAACCACUUUCCUUUGCUCCUAGCGCCUUCUCGUUCGCUGUAUAGCGUUUUGAGCGGAUAAAGAGCACAAGUGUGCAUGGAGACACAGGAUGAAUGGGAACAAGUUUUGUUAUUGCACUUUUGAUGAAAAGUGACUUUCUAGACAUAAAAUGUCACUUUUUUCACCUUAUCAUACUUUUUCAUCAACUUUUGCAUUUUAAUGUAAACAAUCAUAUUUCGUAAUAUUUUGGGUCAGAAACAUUUCAUAGUACUAUAUUAU